UUGCACAGUGAACACCCAAGUGUGCUUGAUAGUUCCCUUGGCUUUAACUCUGUGCUACAGCAAUGUCUGUUCUUUUCCUCUGCAUUGAAAGGAGUUUUUAUCCUUUCAAAUGUAUUCAGAAAGUCAGCACAUUA
ensembl:snoRNA